rnacentral:rRNA from 1 species
UAACACGUCGGUAACCUACCCUCGGGAGGGGGAUAACCCCGGGAAACUGGGGCUAAUCCCCCAUAGGCCUGAGGUACUGGAAGGUCCUCAGGCCGAAAGGGGCUCUGCCCGCCCGAGGAUGGGCCGGCGGCCGAUUAGGUAGUUGGUGGGGUAACGGCCCACCAAGCCGAAGAUCGGUACGGGCCAUGAGAGUGGGAGCCCGGAGAUGGACACUGAGACACGGGUCCAGGCCCUACGGGGCGCAGCAGGCGCGAAACCUCCGCAAUGCGGGCAACCGCGACGGGGGGACCCCCAGUGCCGUGGCAUCGCCACGGCUUUUCCGGAGUGUAAAAAGCUCCGGGAAUAAGGGCUGGGCAAGGCCGGUGGCAGCCGCCGCGGUAAUACCGGCGGCCCGAGUGGUGGCCGCUAUUAUUGGGCCUAAAGCGUCCGUAGCCGGGCCUGUAAGUCCCUGGCGAAAUCCCACGGCUCAACCGUGGGGCUUGCUGGGGAUACUGCAGGCCUUGGGACCGGGAGAGGCCGGGGGUACCCCUGGGGUAGGGGUGAAAUCCUAUAAUCCCAGGGGGACCGCCAGUGGCGAAG